UACGUAGGGUGCGAGCGUUAAUCGGAAUUACUGGGCGUAAAGCGUGCGCAGGUGGUUUGUUAAGACAGAUGUGAAAUCCCCGGGCUUAACCUGGGAACUGCAUUUGUGACUGCACGGCUAGAGUACGGCAGAGGGGGAUGGAAUUCCGCGUGUAGCAGUGAAAUGCGUAGAUAUGCGGAGGAACACCAAUGGCGAAGGCAGUCCCCUGGGCCUGUACUGACGCUCAUGCACGAAAGCGUGGGGAGCAAACAGG
rnacentral:rRNA from 1 species